rnacentral:rRNA from 1 species
CCUACGGGUGGCAGCAGUGAGGAAUAUUGGUCAAUGGACGAGAGUCUGAACCAGCCAAGUAGCGUGAAGGAUGACUGCCCUAUGGGUUGUAAACUUCUUUUAUAUGGGAAUAAAAUGUUCCACGUGUGGGAUUUUGUAUGUACCAUAUUAAUAAGGAUCGGCUAACUCCGUACCAGCAGCCGCGGUAAUACGGAGGAUCCGAGCGUUAUCCGGAUUUAUUGGGUUUAAAGGGAGCGUAGGUGGAUUGUUAAGUCAGUUGUGAAAGUUUGCGGCUCAACCGUAAAAUUGCAGUUGAAACUGGCAGUCUUGAGUACAGUAGAGGUGGGCGGAAUUCGUGGUGUAGCGGUGAAAUGCUUAGAUAUCACGAAGAACUCCGAUUGCGAAGGCAGUUCACUGGACUGCAACUGACACUGAGGCUCGAAAGUGUGGGUAUCAAACAGGAUUAGAUACCCGUGUAGUC